AUUAUUCUUUUGCCCACUUUUAUUUGUUUUAUUGCUAGUGGGUCAUUUGAGUUAUACAAUAUUUAAAUAAAAGAGAACCAUAAACAGUUUUUGUCUUAGGGGAUAAUUUUUUAACACAAUGGUUUCCUUUUCAGGUCAAGAUGAGCUCAGAAAAAAAGGUAUUGAAAUAAUUCAAUCAUAGUUUACUAAAUGAGAACAUUUUGCUAAUACUUUAUGGGUUACAUGAAUAACAUUCAACUUGGGAGAUUUUUAUAGUAUUGUUCAUUUUGAUUUCUUUUUCUAAAGAAUAUUAAUGUCAAAACAAGUUUUCUUAUAGUUCAUCUUCUAAUCAUUACACACCAUAACAUGCUCACUUGAGAUCUACCCAUCAUUUUUAUAACAAUUUCCAAUGCAGCUGAGAUGUGAACUCAUGACAGAUUUUUUUAGUUUUUUGAGAUUGAAGAACAGAUUUCAAAAUAACACACUGAACUAAUCACAGGAAACUAGGAAGCAGAAAUAGCAAUUUUUCUGAACAGAAAUUAAUAUUGGAACUAUCAAGUCAGUAAUUUUAUUUGAAAGUGAAAACUAGGGUCACCAAAAUCCCACUUAGAGGUCGUCACCUCACACUGAAGACUAAGAUAAAAGCGCCUCUUAAGUGGGUCGCCAUCCGCAUCCUAGUUGUGGGCACUCUGUCCUUCCAGACCCCACAGCCUAUUGUCAUCAACAGCACAUCUCUGGCACUGUGAUUAGCUCAAUGUGCUAUUUUUAAAUCUACUAUUCAUGCUCAGAGCUCUCACGCAGGUGGAAGACCCUUGCCUUCCCUUCCCAGAGCUAUGCAGUAUUCUUCUCUCUCACCCUCCUUCCACUCGCAUACCACACACACACCUUCAACACUUCGACCUCCCUUAUGGGGUGAGCAACUGCUGUCUUGGUUUGCCUACAACUGAAGGAUAUCUUGGGAUAUGGAAUUUUUGGUACUAAACCCAGGACAUUGGGUCACAUACGUGAGGAGUGAUGAGGGUGAGAUAGUGAGGGACCUCUGGCUGUUCCUCAUCUUAUUCCUUUUUUUUCCUUUUGUUCCCUAAAAAAAUUAUUCAUAUAAACAAGGAAGAGAGGAUCCUUUUACUGUUCAAUUAGUUCUUCUCAAAAAUUUAUCAUUUUAGGGCAUGGUUUUCUUAAUCUAUUAACCAUUUUCUGAAAAACAUCCUAAGAUUUAUAAAUCAUAAAAAUGUUUAUGUUUAUUUGAUAAUAUGUAGCAGAAAUAGAUGGACCUACUGUUGAAAAUUCUCUCUCAGUAAAACAUUAGCACCUCUUAAUAAAGGGAAUAAUUGAGUGAUUUUUUUCUCAGAAAGGUGUCUCAGAUAAGAGUUGUAGUUGCUAAGAACAAUGAUGUGCUCCAACAAGUUUCUCAUUACCAUGGUGACUUCUCUUCUUUUAAGUUCAACAAAUCAUCCUUUAUACUUGAUAGAUGUUUAGACAGAGUCAACACUUAGAGGCUGCAUCUAAAAAAUAAAAAUGCCUCACAAAACAUUGACACAAGGAAUUAAAUUUUAUAAAACUGGCUAACUUUGGGCCCACUGGGGCAUGAGGGGGAGGAUUUAUAGGUGUUUCAGUAGUACUUAGUGAUUCUUUAUUAGCCAUGUGGAAAUGCUAAAAGUUUUACAACCCGAAUUCUGUAGUUUUAAUUUGUGGCAAAUAUCCUUGGACUAAGUCCCACUGAGAUUCUCAAAUAUUUCAACUAUGACAAGCUUCAAAUUUUUUUCAGAAAAUAUGACUUGUUCAUAUCUCACUUUGGAAAACUGUUUGAUUUGUUUAUACUACAAAUCGGAGAAGCAAGUCAUCUCUUAUUUUGUGAUGAAUUGUUUUUGUCAUGUGUUCUCCUAUGACUUAGAGAUCCUAGAGAUUUCUACAAACAACAGCUUUUAGCCUAAUCUAGGUGACAAUGAGACAAACACAAUAAGAAUUUUAAAUAAAUUCAGUGUCUCACAACAGAAUCACAUCAAUCUAGAGAAAUGAGAAAAUGGGUCAAGUAGAUAAGAAAAUCUAACUUCCUACUGUUGGAAAAUAAACUAUUUAAAGAUCAUGAUAUAAGUAAUAUGAAUACCAGCUCAACCAUACUCUGUAUUUUUCUUUAACAUUACAUACUUUAUUGCUUCCAUUAAUUGAAUUUUCUACGAUUCUAUUGAAUUUACCAGUCUAUAUUGUUUUAAUUAAGCAUAUUGGUAUAAAUUUGCAGUCAUUUAUAGGUGACCAAUACAAAUUUUUUUUUCACUUGUUUUCGCAAAAGAUAGAUAAUUCUGGACUCACAGAUCUCUAGACACUGUUCCUGGUCAUAACAGGUAUUCAAGAAACAUUGGUUCCCAUUCCUAUACCUAACACCUUCUGCACAUUACAGGAAGAAAAACAUGUGAUCCUUGAAAAACUUAGUCUGGAGAAUAAAUACAUGAAAAGGAGGGAAAAUAGAAAAAUUACAUGCUAAGAAAUGUGUACUGCUUGAGAACUCUUUAAGCAACAAAAGUGUUGUCUCUAUUAAAAGCAGACAGGUGAGGUUACCUGAGAAGAAACCCGUGUUUUCAUGUUCAUCUCUUUAACAUGGGGCAGGUCCUUAGGUACAAAACAGAUCUGAACUUCUUGCUUUCUGUUACUCUUAAUUUAACUGGCUAAAUCAGUAAUAUGACUUUGCUUUUAGACAGUUAUACUAGACAGAUAUUUUAUUGAGUACUCUUUGAAUUUAGAAAAACAAGGGUACUAAAAUAUGCCCAGUGAUGUAGGAACUAUGUGCAGUUGGAAGGACUCUUUGCCAAAACUCUAAGGAAUCUUGUGGAUUCCUUACAAUGUGUUUCAUAAUUGCUACCUGGGUUACAUUUGUACUAAAAUCCUUUCUUCAUAGGAAUGAUCUUAGAGUUAAAUAAUUUUCUAUUAGUCUUUUAACUACCUCCUCUCUAUAAAUUUUUAAAGAAAAUUCACUUAAAUUACUUUUAGUAUGGGAGAUUGUAAGCAGAAGGCCCCAUAGAUUUUGGAUCUGUGGUAGCAUGGGAAAUUUUCUUUUCUUUCUUUAAAUAAGCCUUAUUUUAGAAAAACAAAUCUCUAGCUAGCUAGCUACAUAGAUAGAUAGAAGUAGACAGAGAUAUAGAUAUAGGUAUGGAGUAGACUCUAAUAUGUCUCUAUGUAUAUCUAUGAGGAAAAGUAAUUCUUAGUCUAAUUCCUAUGGAAAUUAGACAUUAGAAUAAAUGCUAAUAUACCUAGCACAGUUCUCUACUCUGCAGGUGCCCAUAAGCUCUUUAUUUUUUAUUCAUUAAUUCUUCACUCAACCACCCAGGAUUUAUUAAACAUUCUGUGCCAGGCACUCUGCUGGGUGUUAGAGAUAUAAAGAUAAGUAAGACUUGGUCCCUGUAUUUAAAGACUCACAAAGCAUCCUAAGGCUAGCUCCAAUUCCUUAAGUCAUGCGUAUAGAAGUAUAGAGAGAUCACUAUGAUUAUAUAAUUAAUCAGUCCUAUAAACCAUAUUUUAAAAUCCUAACCUCAUAAAUGCUGACCCAUAACAGAGGUUCCUCAUAACUAGCUGUAAAACCAUAAACCAGUCCUUUAAUUUCUCAAUGCAUUAAGAAGUUUGAUUUGUAAAAUGUGGUACUGAAACUAAGAUCCCUUUUAUAUUUGUAGGAUUGAUCUGAAAGUGACUACUGAUUGAAUGCCAUGUUGAUGUGGAUGAAGAGAGGAGUUGAAAGCUUGUCAGUUAACCAACAGAAAAAAAUUAAAGUUCGGUGGAAUAAGACCAAAUGGACAAUGAACUGCCCACUCCCUAAACCUCCCACAGGCACAUAAAGUGACUGCCAAAAAGUGCACUCUCAGUUGUCUGGGCACAUGGAAAUAUCUGGCACAGUCUCUUAUCCAUUAAAAUCCUAAAUAUAUUAAUUAAGAACCUUGUCUUUGGAAUUGCAGAACCAACUUCAUGUGUUUCAUGUGGCUUUAAACUGCAAAAUUGUCAAUUUAUAAGCUUGCAGUUGUGCCAAUGGAAUACAUAAAGUACAUAAAGUACAAUGGAGUAUAUAAAGUACAAUGUACAUAAAGUACAUAAAGUACAAUGGAGUACAUAAAGUACUCUAGUUUGAACCAGAAGUUUUAUUAAACUAUUGGAUAGAAGAAAAUGGUCCAAGAUAAGAACAUGCAAAAUCCAGAACAUGAAAAAUGCUCAUUUUACCCAGGAUAAUUUAAAACGUAUACAAUUUGUUAGAUAUAAUUGUUGAUGAAAUUAAUAAAGAAUAUCAAAAAGCCCAUUAGGUAGAUAUUUGUUAAUAUUAAACACAGUCUUAUGACAGGAAAUAUCAAGAACAAGGACUGCAUUUUAUUCAUUUUUUGUUUAGAUGAAACUUACAUAAUUUAACUUUUCUUUAUUCCAUAACUGUCAGGAAGCUUAGUGUAAGAUUUGAUGCUCAUUCCUAGUAACUGGUAACUAUUUGUGCUCUCCUCCUUUUCUUACAUUUGAUGUUAUUGUUUAGUGUUUGUCCCACUUUAUGAAUGACCAUUUUUUAAGCUUUCUUAAGUCAUCUUUGCAGAGGUCAUAUUUAAUAAAAAAAAAAGUCUGCCUUUGUCUCAUCAUAGAGCUGAACAGUGUUCCUUAUGUGGAGUAGGAGCUUAACACAUAUUUGCCACAUUGUUAAUUCAUUGUGAAGGAUUUCAUAAAUAAACCUAGAGAAAAAGAUAUCCACUAACGUAUUAAAUAUUUUUUAAAAGCAAGUUCAUCUGAAAGGAGCAACUAUGUCUUAUUAUCUUAAAACUUCAAAGGAAGUUUUUCUUUAAAUGUAAAACAUACCUCUUAAUUCCAGAAAGACUGAUCCUUCAUUUGGCUUUUGUGCAUUUUAGCCAGUCUUGGCUUUCUAAAUCAUGUUGAAAACAAACAGACCAUUUGUGCCAUGUUUGCUGUUAACUAAGUAAUAAACCAAGAGGAUUUAGCUAAUUUUUUGAGGUCAUUAACAUGAUGAAGUUAAUCACCUGAGUUAAGACAUAUGGACAUUUUACCAAAAAAAAAAAAAAAAAAAACCGCUCAAAUGGUCCUUGAAAUAAGGUUAAAUAGAUCUAAUUUAUGUUAAACUUUAAUUAACCAUAUGCACUACUGCGUGAUAAUGUGCAUGCAUAUGUUGCUUACAUUAAUUGCUUUCAUAAGUUAAUUACUGCAACACACUUUGGCUUCUGUUCAUUUAAAACUUAACAAAUGUUCGCACCAGCUGUGGAAGUGAUUGAAGGCAAUAAAUGAACGAGUAAACCAUUGGUUUACUUGUUUAAAUUAAAUCUGCUAUCUCAAGCUGUCCUGUGUCUUAAUACAUUAGAAAAGACACUUGGGAAUCAAUGAUCAUGUAAUUCCUAUUUUAAUCACUGUUAGUCAUACUUAAAGUAAUAGGGACAUUGAACUUUUACGUUUGUUGGCUGACCUCUGCUUUCUAUAGUUUACUGGGCCAUCAUUGACUAUGGUUUACUUUUAUUACAGCAGAAUUGAGCUACAGUUUCAUAUAAUUAGAUAUUUGUCUGGUCCUUGUAUAAAAGCAUACAGACUCUGUCAUGCCUGAUGUCUUUUAUUGCCCACUUUAACUGGAUACUAAAGUUUGUGUUUAAAGAGAUGAUUUAUAUAGACAAAGAACUUCUUCUAAAAAAUAAUAGAAUUCUAUUUUAUUGAAACUAAAGUUUACUUUUUUAUUACAUCAUUUGUCUCUCUGAAUCUGUAGCAUGUUGGCCAAUAUAGUAUGAUAAUAAAUUACUACUAGAAUACCUCA